UUCCCAUCUCUCGUGAUGAAUCCCCAUGCCCCUGAGCUGCCGUGAUUCUGGCUUCAAAGUAAACGCUCUGAAGAAGAGAUGGGA
rnacentral:snoRNA from 1 species